AAAAUACAACCACUUUGAUAAAAGUGCAAAAAGAUGUGAAAUCUACAAGGAUUUUGUAGAUUUUACUGAUUCAGAGCACCGGAAGCUGCUCAGGUACUGCAGCAACAGAUGGCUGAGUCUGUUAACCUGCAUCCAGAGAGUGUUGAACCAAUGGGCCGCACUAACGGCCUACUUUAACAGCCUUGAGGAAGUGGAGAAGAAUGCUAAACUACAUGAUCUAGUGGCCAUCCGGCUGAUCCGGUCGUGAAGAUCUACUUCUUGUUCUGGCUGCUGCCCUGAAGCCUUUUUCUGAAUUUAAUAUUGCGUUCCAGGUGUGUAUGGGUACCGAUGACAUUGUAUGUAUGUGUGAAUAAUAGUUGUAAAUAAAUAG